AUACGGAGGAUCCGAGCGUUAUCCGGAUUUAUUGGGUUUAAAGGGAGCGUAGGUGGACAGUUAAGUCAGUUGUGAAAGUUUGCGGCUCAACCGUAAAAUUGCAGUUGAUACUGGCUGUCUUGAGUACAGUAGAGGUGGGCGGAAUUCGUGGUGUAGCGGUGAAAUGCUUAGAUAUCACGAAGAACUCCGAUUGCGAAGGCAGCUCACUGGACUGCAACUGACACUGAUGCUCGAAAGUGUGGGUAUCAAACAGGAUUAGAUACCCUGGUAGUCCACACAGUAAACGAUGAAUACUCGCUGUUUGCGAUAUACAGGAGGCGGCCAAGCGAAAGCAUUAAGUAUUCCACCUGGGGAGUACGCCGGCAACGGUGAAACUCAAAGGAAUUGACGGGG
rnacentral:rRNA from 1 species